rnacentral:misc_RNA from 1 species
GCGAAAUGCGAUAAGUAAUGUGAAUUGCAGGCAUCGUGAAUCAUCGAGUUCUUGAACGCACAUUGCGCCCUGUGGUAUUCCGCAGGGCAUGCCUGUUUGAGCGUCGGUUCAAUCUUUGAACUGGGCUUACGAAGAGUUUGUCUGAAAUUGAAGCUCCCCAGCGCUACUACGUAUCCGCAGGGAAUAAUCAAUUCGACCUCAAAUCAGGUAGGAGUACCCGCUGAACUUAAGC